rnacentral:rRNA from 1 species
UGGGGAAUCUUGCACAAUGGGCGAAAGCCUGAUGCAGCAACGCCGCGUGAGCGAUGAAGGCCUUUGGGUCGUAAAGCUCUGUCCUUGGGGAAGAAAAAAAUGACGGUACCCAAGGAGGAAGCCCCGGCUAACUACGUGCCAGCAGCCGCGGUAAUACGUAGGGGGCAAGCGUUAUCCGGAAUUAUUGGGCGUAAAGAGUGCGUAGGUGGUUAUGUAAGCGCAGGGUGAAAGGCAAUAGCUCAACUAUUGUAAGCCCUGCGAACUGCAUGACUUGAGUGCAGGAGAGGAAAGUGGAAUUCCUAGUGUAGCGGUGAAAUGCGUAGAUAUUAGGAGGAACACCAGUGGCGAAGGCGACUUUCUGGACUGUAACUGACACUGAGGCACGAAAGCGUGGGGAGCAAACAGG